rnacentral:rRNA from 1 species
GACGAACGCUGGCGGCGUGCUUAACACAUGCAAGUCGAACGGUGAAGCCCUUCGGGGUGGAUCAGUGGCGAACGGGUGAGUAACACGUGAGCAACCUGCCCCUGGCUCUGGGACAACCACUGGAAACGGUGGCUAAUACCGGAUACGACCCGCCUCGGCAUCGAGUGUGGGUGGAAAGUUUUUCGGCUGGGGAUGGGCUCGCGGCCUAUCAGCUUGUUGGUGAGGUGAAGGCUCACCAAGGCGACGACGGGUAGCCGGCCUGAGAGGGCGACCGGCCACACUGGGACUGAGACACGGCCCAGACUCCUACGGGAGGCAGCAGUGGGGAAUAUUGCACAAUGGGCGAAAGCCUGAUGCAGCGACGCCGCGUGAGGGAUGACGGCCCUCGGGUUGUAAACCUCUUUCAGCUCCGAAGAAGCGAAAGUGACGGUAGGAGCAGAAGAAGCACCGGCUAACUACGUG